GACGAACGCUGGCGGCGUGCCUAAUACAUGCAAGUAGGACGCAGUUGCGAAAGGGUGAGUAACGCGUAGGUAACUGCCUAUUGGAGGGGGCUAAAUAUUGGAAACGAUAGCGAAUACCGCAUACUAGUAGAUGGACCUGCGUUGUAUUGGGUAGUAGGUAGGGUAAUGGGCUACCUAGGCGACGUUACAUAACCGAGCUUGGAGGGGGGGCGACCCACCCUGGACUGAGGCACGGCCCAGACUCCUACGGGAGGCAGCAGGUGGGAAUCAUCGGCAAUGGGGGGAACCCUUGCCGAGCACCUCCGCGUGGGUUGAGAAGGGUUUCCGGUCUUAAAGCUCUGUUGUUCAGGAAGCGGUACUUAACCAGAAAGGGACGGCUAACUACGUGCCAGCAGCCGCGGUAAUAC
rnacentral:rRNA from 1 species